GGGGCAGCGGCCAGCAUCCACCGAGAUCGGCAUCCCGCAGGUCACGCCCGUGAUCGCCCCACCUCGCUUGUAAAGCGGGGGUCGUCGGUUCGAACCCGACAGGAGGCUCCA
rnacentral:tRNA from 1 species